rnacentral:lncRNA from 1 species
CACCCAAGUCUCUCCCAGCAUCCACACCUCUCCUUUCCGCUCCUCCACCAUCCGCCUUCUCUCUCUACCUUUCACGGCUAAGCUGCUGCCAAAAGACCUCGACUCCUCGUCAGCCAUCCAGUCAUCGCCUCGUCUCUCACCGGCUCCUCGAAAGACUCCCCAAAUCUCGUCGCCGUCCCGUCCUAGCAAGAGGCCAGGGCACGCCCUUCGGUUCCUUCGCCUUCCUAAACUCUCUGUGGUGUCUGAGGAAUGCUGCCCACGCCUUCAGUCUCUGCAAGUUCUCUCCACCCUCUUUCUCUGGGGGAUGGCCCCCUCCCCAGGCACGGUCUUCAGGGAACAGGAACCCCUCGGGUCUCAGAGCAAGCUCAUGCGCUCUCCUACGAUUCGACUCGCCCCCCGGAUGCCCAGGGCUUCUGAGUGCGUACGACUGACGUCACCCUGCCCCUGACUCCACGCUGCUUUCUCUAACUGUCUGCUGGACGCACCUCUCGGGAUGUCCAAAGGCUUCUCAAAACCGACACGUCCAAAAGGGAGCCCGAACAACAGGAAGACGGCAGAUCAGAGAGCAGCUUGAUGGCAGCCCCCCCGGACCCCGCCCGAGCGGACAUCGUGCAGAGGCUUGGACCAGCCGAAAUGACGGAUCGCCCACUUUCCGCGUCACGGACAGAGAUCCUCGGCGUGCAACGCGUCGAACCCCACUGACCUCGCACUUGUGGACCCACGAAGAAAUACGAGUGACAGUCGCACCUGAGCAGAGGACUCUUCAAGCUUCACCCCCAGCGCUCUCCUGGUCCCACCCCUACCCCAACCCCAGAUAAACGCCCCCAAUGUUUGAUUUUCCCUUUUGAGAAGCGAGGUUGAGUUUGACGCCCACCUCCUUGUCUGGCCGCCUCUUGAUCAUAAACCUCUUUCCUUGCUGCAACCCUGACUUCUCACUGAUUGGCUUGGCUGCGAAAUCGGGUACCCGGACCUGAGUUUGUGUGUGGUCCCAUCGCUUCCCUGCUUGAAGGAAUCCAGGGUUCUCCACUGCCUGCAGGCCAAACUGGAGCAGAAUCUCAAGGCCUCGCCCCUGCA